UACAGAGGGUGCGAGCGUUAAUCGGAUUUACUGGGCGUAAAGCGUGCGCAGGCGGUUGUGCAAGACAGAUGUGAAAUCCCCAGGCUCAACCUGGGAACUGCAUUUGAAACUCCCUUUCUUGAGUACCGGAGAGGAAAGUGGAAUUCCUGGUGUAGAGGUGAAAUUCGUAGAUAUCAGGAGGAACACCAGUGGCGAAGGCGGCUUUCUGGACGGUAACUGACGCUGAGACGCGAAAGCGUGAGGAGCAAACAGG
rnacentral:rRNA from 1 species